rnacentral:misc_RNA from 1 species
AAGUCGUAACAAGGUUUCCGUAGGUGAACCUGCGGAAGGAUCAUGUAAACGUUCUUUUGAAAGAAUGGGUGCGGAUGUGUGGCACUUUACUGGGCUGCACAAACGCCCCGUUCUCCAAACCCAUCGCGAACUGGAUUUCGUAGCAGACAAGGAAAGGGGGGGGAUGGAGGUGUUCGUGGGCUCCUUCCUUCUAGGAGGGAGCGAGCCUGCUUGCACGUUCAUUUUUUUCCUUUGCUUCUGCGCACAUUUUUUUCUCAAAACCACUUUUUUCACAAAAUUUCAACGUAACGAACAUGUGUUGGAACGCAAAAGAAAAAGGGAAACGUUAAAAUUUCCUUCUUUUUUUUUCUCCGACCGCAUAUCAAUUUAUCAACUGCAAAAGAGAUAAAGAACAACUCUUAGCAACGGAUAUCUUGGUUCCC